AAGGAUUUAAGUUAAAAAAACUUGUAGCCUUCAAAGCUUCUAAUAAGAAUAUUAUUCUUAAGCCUUA
rnacentral:tRNA from 1 species